UACAGAGGUCCCAAGCGUUGUUCGGAUUCAUUGGGCGUAAAGGGUGCGUAGGCGGCGCGGUAAGUCGGGUGUGAAAUCUCGGAGCUUAACUCCGAAACUGCAUUCGAUACUGCCGUACUUGAGGACUGGAGAGGAGACUGGAAUUUACGGUGUAGCGGUGAAAUGCGUAGAUAUCGUAAGGAAGACCAGUGGCGAAGGCGGGUCUCUGGACAGUUCCUGACGCUGAGGCACGAAGGCCAGGGGAGCAAACGGG
rnacentral:rRNA from 1 species